CGUGUUCACUUUGAAAUCUUAAGUGUUCACUUUUUAAAUCAAAGUGUCACUUUCUAUUUAAACGUGUUCACUUUGACAUUUAAGAAUUUAGAAGUGUAAACAAGAUACAAGAAUGACCAGUCAGCGUAAAAUUAUACCGGAAAACGACUUGCUGCGAAUUUUUGGCAACGAUAUCCAAAUUAAUGAGCAGGGUGAUUUAACGUACACGUGUGUUGAGGAAGAUACGGAUCUCCUUAAUCUGCUAGAGGAGUUUGAUCUGGAAACACUUUUUCUUGGCCUAAAAAAUGCUGGAAGAACUUUUCGAAGCUUAAAAUAUUUGUCGAAAGAAGACAUUGCGGAAGCAGUAAAAAAAUAUAUGGUCUAUAUAUGCAAAAUUGUUUUUACUCAAAUUACUUGAUAGUUGUAAAAAUGCCGUGAAAAAGCAAGAAAUAUUGGUCGACGUACACGUGUAAAUGAAAAUUCAUGGCAACGCACUCGACGUCUUCUAAAAAUUCUAAUACCUUAAGACAACGAGGGGCAGUCAACAAGCGACCAAAGCACAUAGAGAAUAUAACCAACGGCGAAUGCAGGAUAAUCGAGCAUUGGUACGAACAUCACUUAAUCGUCUCGCGUUGCAAUAUGAUCCUGAUAUAAACUAUAGGUCACACCCAUUAAUCAUGAUCGGUAGGUAUGGACAAAGAGUGUCAACAUUGUCAUGUUUUCAAGAACAAAGGUGAAUCAGCUGGUUUGUGUUGCAUAUCUGGGAAAAUUUCAUUGCCACCGCUUAAUAUACCACCGGAGUCUUUAAAAACACUUUUAGCUGGAACCAAAUCUCAAUCAAAUUCGUUUUUGCAGAAAAUUCGUAAAUUCCAUUCAUGCUUCCAAAUUACAUUGUUUGGAGCAACAAAAAAUGUUCAUCAUGAAGAUGGUCGGAAUUUUGAAUCUACAUUCAAUAUUCAAGGUCAAGUGUACCACCGAAUCAGUUCAUUGCUUCCAAUGCCUGAUGCCGAAUACAUACAUAUUUAUUUUAAGGGAAAUGAGGAGACACAAUCUCAUACACGCUGCGCUUACAACCAUAUACAGCAGAAGGAAGAUUGAGAAAUUGUGGACAUUUUGGAAACGUUUCUGAAAAACCAUAACCAAUUGGUACAAUUGUUCAAGACCCUUUCUAACAGACUGCAAAACGACAACUACGUCAUUGUCAUUAAAGCAGACGAAGUGUCCUAUGGAGAGCACACAGGCACUUAUAAUGUUCCAACUGUUAAUGAAGUUGCAGUUGUUAUUGCUGACCUACCCUGCCAGCCACGAGCGAUUAAAAAACUAGUGAAACAGUAGGUACAAAAGUAGUGAAAAAAGUGGUUAGAUUGCCAUAGGCCGCGUAAAGAUUCUAACCGUACGUAUACAUGUGAUCAUACAUCUCUGUUGCGCUCACUCCGCAGUGUCAUAUAAAAAAGUAUAUCUGUCCAGCUCUAAUAUACCCAAUCGACUGCUGGUGCAGGGUUGCAUUUUCUCUU